AGAAUUAUUCAAAUAUAUUUCAACAGGAAUCCGAAGUCAACAAAAUCAUGAAACAAAACCGGAACCAAGCCCAACAUAUCUCCUCUCAAGUUUCAAAACCCUUCUACAUUACAAGCAAACAUUGCAGCAGCAACUAUAACGAGUGAUCCAACCACAUUAUUAUGCAUAAACGUAACUGCGCUAGAUAUAUCCACAGGAGCAACAGGACUCUCUACAUUAGCAGAAGGAACCGCCUUAGUAGGUUUUUCUGCAGGUGCCUGUACUGGUGCUGGAGCUGGAGCAUUGGAUCCAAAAAUGUCCUUAGGAAGUAGCACCUUCUCGAUCUUAUAAAUGGCUAGCUGGUUGUCCGUGUAAACCGUGCCAGAUAAACUUGUAUUGGUAAGUCCUGUGGUUAUGUUCACCGAGUUUGGAUAACUUGUGACAUUAAGUGGUAACCUACUACCUGUUCCAGCCCAUGUUCCAAGAGGAUUACUUACGGUCUGGAACUGGGAAGUCGAUAGAAAUGUUGGAACUACGUGGAACUUCACCAACUCAGACUUGUCUCCAUCACUUAGAGUAUUGAGAGUUCCUGAUUUGAGUUCCGAAAAUGCACUAUCUGUGGGUGCAAAGAUGGUUAUACCAGUGUUGGAAUCAUUGAGCGCGGAGAACAAGUGGUUUUCCUCUUGGGUGGAUCUCAAAAGGCGGAUAAAGAUCGUGAAAUGGCCAGCCUUCUCAAGGAUUUUGGUGACGUUGGUGAUGCCGUGUGGUGCAGCAGCCUGUGUUGGGGUUGCGACUGGAGGUUGUGCUACGACUACUGCUGGUGCCUGUGCUGGGGCUGCUGUUGGUGACUGGGCAAAGGUAUUGAUAUAACACAGGGAAAGAAGAAGCAUUGAAAAUGAGAAGAUUGAGUACUGUUGCUUCAUCUUUAAGUUUCCACGGUAUAAUGCUAGAGAUAAUUAAAAAAUGCUAACGCAAAUUGAGUUCGAUCUUAGUUGGAAGUGUUUGAUGUCUGAAGAAGAGACAGAGUGAGCUUUUAUAGAAGUGGACAGAGGAUCAAACUAGGUGCAAUGUACGAGUUUAGUUAUACAACUUGGUUGCUAGUACCUAUUUUGCUCUGAAAGGUGGAGGGUCAUCAAUGGAUGGGUUUUUUAACAAUGCUGCAGCAACUACUUGGCUUGGAAAAGAAGGAAAAAAUUUCUAAAAAGCAGAUUUCCAGUGGUGUGACAGUAAAUAAAGAUGUCCAUGAUUGUCGAAAUUAUAUUUUAGAAUCAUCACUGUCAGAACAUUUGAGGAUACUUCUUAACUUAAAAAAAAAAAUCUUCUGUCAUGGCAGAAGAUUUGGACAAGCAAUCUUAACGGAACCAUCUUUCUAUAUCUAAAACAGCUAUGGCUCCUUCAGCAUAAUAGAAUGAAUCUUUACUUCCCUGAAUCCAUGACAGACAUCGAUAGACUAACUUUCCAAAUUUACACAGAAAUCAAAUCUCACCUAGACCAUCACUUAAAACAACACAAUCAAGCAACACCUACCUUAUGUACUUGAUUUGAUGUUCGUGGCAAGCCUUCUUUCAAGGUUUAUGCAAUCUCCAGGGGAGAUGCAUUUUAGGGCAGCAAAUAUGUCCUAAUACAUGUUAGGGGAACACUGAUUUUAGAGUAUGGUUUGAAGCUACUGCAGAUGCAGAAUUGACAGCCUACACAGAUGGUGAUUGGCUCGUUCAUUUGAUGAUAUGUAGAGCACAACAUGUUAUGAGUUCAAUUUCGGUUCAGGUGCAUUUUAUUGGAUGACCAACAAGCAAAAACAAUGGCACAAACCACUGCAGAAGCAGAGUACAUAGCUGCAGCAGCUACAGUGUGAAGCAACGACAAUUGAAAUUGAUAACAACUCAGCCAUUGCAAUUGUGAAAAAUCAUGCAAGUCAUGUCAAAACCAAGCAUAUCUAAGUGAAGUUCCAUUUAGUUCAUGAUGUAUAAAAAGCUAAUGAGGCGACCUUAAUCUACUGUGAAGCAGAAAAUCAACUUGAAGAUAUAUUCGUUAAAACUCUUUCUCAAGCCAGAUUUGAAUUUGUCAGGAACAAGCUUGGAUUAUCAAGAAGUCGUCUCAAGGAGGAAUGUCAUACCAAUUUUGAUACUUUUUCUACAUACUUAGUGCAUGUUCUGUAGCAAUCUACUGAUAUUUUGUAAAAAGUAUUGCUGAAGUAAACCUGCUGAAAAUCAUGUGAGGGCAGGUCCCAGUAGUCAAGGGGUGGUGUUGUGAUCCUUGGAUGGCAUUAGGUGGAGUUUUUCUUGAAAGAAAGUUAUAGUAAUCAAAUACUUCUGCGCAUAUAUAAAUGAUAAUGUCAGAUGUGGUAGUACGAAAAAACAAACCGGUUUACAAAAUCAGCAAAGCACUAUCAGUCUUGCUAUCUAUAAUUUCUCUGCUGCAAACAUUCUUGUUGGUCACAAAACCAGCAGUUAUGAAAUUGGAGAGAACCUGAACCUGAUGUUGGCUUAAACUGGAGAAAGAUUCAUUAAGAUAAAACUUUAAAGGCUCCAUUGUAAGCGCAAUGUGCAGGUUAUUUCACAUACAGAUUGGCAAAACUUCAAGUAAAUUAGCUGUACCAUGCAGAUCCAACUUCGAGCACUCAUUUUGUAACUCAAAAUCCUUGAGAUUGCUGAGAGAACUUCCAAAAAUAAACACCACUCAAUGCAAGCAUCUGCGUAUAAUAACAAACUUUCAUGAAAAGCUGUCAUCAAGAACAAUAUAAGUAUUAUCCUACAUUUGCACAAGCAACCAUCUGCAUAUAAUAAGACAAUAGCUCACUAGUUAUACAAAAUUCACAAUGAAAUAUCUGUUUUCACCGUUGUCCUACAAAAUGAAUGAAUUAAUGUGUAGCACUAGCUUAUCUCUAGCUUCAAAACAUCAAUACUUCAAGAAGAAGGAACGAAAAGAAAAGGAUUAUCUUAAUCCUGCAGGGCAGAGCAGUAAGGUGCUUCGCAUGAGCAAGUAACCCAAAACACUAAUCUCCAAUGCUUAAUAUGCUCUUUUCUGUCCAAUAAUGAAUACUUGUUUCAAUCAAACCUGAUAAAUCCUUGAAAUACUACCUACCUAGUACCUACCUUCAAUUGAAUCAUCUCCAACAGCCCACGAUUUGGACAAGUAACCUCAACCUCAAGUGAUGCAUUCUUUUUAGUGAAGGAACUAAGCUUUAGCUCCUGAAACUUUACAGAACAGAACUUUACAUUCUUCAUUCCUUACAACCUUCAACAGAUAAUCUUUUCAAAUAUACAAACACAGAAAUCAAAUCACCCACAAAUUUGAAGAAAACAUCAUUCAAGAAACACUGACCUCAGGGACCUAAGCCCCAAAGAGGCAAUUGGUUUAUCUAACCAAAAGCUAGGAAAUAAGUAGACGACACCAGGGUUACAGUGAGGAAAAAAAAUGAAAUUUGACAGAUCAAGUAUAUAUAUUGCAACUUGAACAAGAAAUUAAAUGAAACCUCAAAAUUCCAUCUUAACCACAAGCUCAAAUCAUACAAACUGGAUUCAAAGUAAAAUCUGAAUUAUUCAAAUUUCAACAGGAAUCCAAAGUCAACAAAAUCAUGAAACAAAACCGGAACCAAGCCCAACAUAUCUCCUCUCAAGUUUCAAAACCCUUCUACAUGACAAGCAAACAUUGCAGCAGCAACUAUAACGAGUGAUCCAACAACCACAUUAUUAUGCAUAAACGUAACUGCGCUAGAUAUAUCCACAGGAGCAACAGGACUCUCUACAUUAGCAGCAGGAACCGCCUUAGUAGGUUUUUCUCGUGCAGGUGCCUGUACUGGUGCUGGAGCUGGAGCAUUGGAUCCAAAAAUGUCCUUAGGAAGUAGCACCUUCUCGAUCUUAUAAAUGGCUAGCUGGUUGUCCGUGUAAACCGUGCCAGAUAAACUUGUAUUGGUAAGUCCUGUGGUUAUGUUCACCGAGUUUGGAUAACUUGUGACAUUAAGUGGUAACCUACUACCUGUUCCAGCCCAUGUUCCAAGAGGAUUACUUACAGUCUGAAACUGGGAAGUGGAUAGGAACGUUGGAACUACGUGGAACUUCACCAACUCAGACUUGUCGCCAUCACUUAGAGUAUUGAGAGUUCCUGAUUUGAGUUCCGAAAAUGCACUAUCUGUGGGUGCAAAGAUGGUUAAACCAGUGUUGGAAUCAUUGAGCGCGGAGAACAAGUGGUUUUCCUCUUGGGUGGAUCUCAAAAGGCGGAUAAAGAUCGUGAAGUGGCCAGCCUUCUCAAGUAUUUUGGUGACGUUGGUGAUGCCGUGUGGUGCAGCAGCCUGUGUUGGGGUUGCGACUGGAGGUUGUGCUACGACUACUGCUGGUGCCUGUGCUGGGGCUGCUGUUGGUGACUGGGCAAAGGUAUUGAUAUAACAAAGGGAAAGAAGGAGCAUUGAAAAUGAGAAGAUUGAGUGCUGUUGCUUCAUCCUUAUUUUUUUGGGAUAAAAUGCUCGAAACAAUUCAAAUAUACUAAUGCAAAUUGAUCUCAAUCAUAAAGUGUUUGAUGUGUAAAGAUGAGAUAGAGUGAGGUUUUUAUAGUAGUGGACAGAGGAUCAAGUUAGGUGCAAUAUACAAUUUUAGUUAUACAACUAGAUUGCUAGUACCUUAUCUCACUCCAAAAGCUGUAGGGUCAUCAAUGGAGAGGGAAAUUUAACAAUGCUGCAGCAACUACUUUCCUUGGAAAAGCAGGCAAAAAAAAAAGGUUCUAAAAGGUAGAUUUCAAGUGGCUGUGACAACAAAUAAAGAUGUCCAUGAUUGUGAAUCAUCACUAGCAGAACAGCUGAGCAUGCUUCUUAACAUCAAAACAAAUCAUCUAUAAUGACAGAAGAUUUAGACAAGCGAUCUAAACUGACCUUUGUAUCGUAAAUAGCCAAGUCUUUGCUCUUUUAGCUUAAAAGAACGAAUAUUUACAUCCUUAAUCCUUGACAGACAUUGAUAGAUCACUAAUUUUCUAGAUUCGCACGCUCAGAAAUCAAAUCUCACACCAGACCAUCACUUAACACAACUUCAUGAAGAAACACUUACCUUAUGUACAUGAGCCCGUAGAGGUCAUGCUAUUGAUAAAAGUGAUUUUGCAGUAUGCAAACGCAAGUCUUGAAACUUUAAGAUAGCCAUUUCGAAGUAAAAGGAAUUGUGUUCUUUUACAUGAUGUUGAAUGGCAUAAUAGUCUUUUAUUCAUGGAGAGGAUGAAAGAAAAGGCAAGGAGCAGAAAAUGUCUCAGUUGGUUACUGUCAUCCCCAGUGUUUUAUUUAUAGAAGGAAACAAACAUUACAGAAAAUGAAACACUAAAGAAACGUACUAGCUAUGUUCUCCUUUAUCAAAGGAGUUAUAUAACAAGCUAGUCUAAUCCUAGAUAAGCUUAAACAAAUGAAUUGAAAGAAACAUCCUAAUCUAGAUAAUGCUAUCAGCUAACAGAUAAAUAGCUAUCAGCUAACAAAUAGAUAACAAUGCAGUAGAUUACUACAAAGUAAUCCUGUUCCAGCUUUGGUACCAAACUUCAACACUCCUCCUUGGUUCCAAAGCUACACAUUCCAAUUCUUCCUCUCAGAUCUUCAAACAUGUUUCCUGUUUCUAGUUCAACUGCUGCUUUGAAUUUAACAAACUCAGCAAACACAUAAGAUUUUGAUUUGAGGCAAGGGAUUCUGUACUAGAGCUCAAGCCUUUUAUUCAUGUUAAACGUACUAGGAUGAAUGGAUCAUGCUUCCACCAAAACCAUGAUUUUCCUCCAUAAUGCAGCAAAUCAUAGAAGGGUUUUUCUGGCAGUCGUCUGUCACAUUCAGUUUAUGAAAAUUGUGAUAUAACCUCGACAAUUUUACUGAUUGGAAUCCACUUCCUCAAGCUUAAAGUAACAAUCCUAUGCUCUCUAACACUCUCUUUUCUCUAAUUAUCAACACCAGCAGUUUUGAAACAGGAGAAAAGAACUUAACCUGAUGUGGGAUUGCUUAAACUAGAGAAAAAUUCAUUCUGAGGAAACUUAAAAGGUUCCUGUGUGAGAGCAAUACAGCAGAUUUGUUCACAUUAAGUUUAGUAGAAGUUCAAGAGAUAACCUAGUAAAGGUAGUUCUGUUUCAGAAGCCUGAUUUCUUGAUAAUUAGCAUUUUCUACUCUUUUGCAUUAUGUUCAGCCUCGCAUUCAAAUGUUGUCAGCAGAACCAUAUAUAAUCUUACAGAUUAAAGAGAACAACAUUUUGAUUCCAACCACUUCAAAAACUUGUAAUGAAAUAUUUGCUUUCACCAUUGUCCUGCAACCUCCUUUUCCUUUCUCUCUACCCUCCUUAAUGCAUGCUUUGUCUUCCCUGAUCGUCAAAUAAUCAUCUCAAUCCAAUAACUUAAGUUAUUAGAUGAGAUUCCAAGAUAUGAUUUAUAUCAUUCUCUAACACACACCCCUCAAGUAAAAGUCAAUUAAGCUUGAAACUUGCACAUGCCCACACUAUCUUGUGCUUAAUUUUUAUCAAAUAAAUAGGGAUGGUGAGAUUCAAACUCAUGACUGUUUGGUCAUUAAAGUUCUGAUACCAUGUCAAAGAAUCAUCUCAUCUCAAUAGCUUAAGAUGUUAGGUAAGGUUCUAAGAUAUGAUUUAUAUUAUUCUCUAACACACCUCUUCAAGUGAAAGCCCUUUAGGCUUAAAACUUGUACAGGUCCGCACUACCUUGUACUUAAUUUUUAUCAAAUAAAUAGGGAUGGUGAGAUUUCAAGAUAUAAUUUAUAUAUUAUUCUCUAACAUAUCACUUCAAGUGAAAGGCCUUUGAACUUGAAACUUGCAUAGAUCCAUACUACCUUGUGCUUAAUUUUUAUCAAAUAAAUAGGGAUGGUGGGAUUCGAACUCAUGAUCGUUUGGUCAUCAAGACUCUGAUAUCAUGUCAAAGAACCAACUCAACUUAAUAACUUAAAUUGUUAAGUGAGGUUCUAAAAUUUUGAUUUAUAUUAUUCUCUAAUAAUAUCGUGAUAGUUUGCCCCGUGCUCACCCUUAUUAGCCGACAUCCCCAUAUCUCUGCAUCAGAAAAAUCUUCUUUCUGAGGGAAGUAAUCCGAUAAACCUUCCUCCAGAUCCAGUAAGUUAAUGUUCAAUAAAAAAACAUAGCAACAACUAGCAAGCAAAAACUACAACCUCUUAAUAUGACAUCUCAGCCGAAAAAUCUCCGAAACCUCCAAAAAUCUCACUCCAUUUACUCCUCCGAUAACUAGACUUCCAAGAAAUAGAACCACCAACACAACCACUAUUAUCUAAGAAACAGUUAGGGCAUGAUUCGAUGACACCAGGGUGAUCAUAAAAAAACAACAAAUGAAGUUUGACUAAUCAAGUACAUGUUUAGCAAUUUGAUCAAGAAAUUAAAUAAAACCUCGAAACCAUAACCUAAAAUCAUACAAACUGGAUUCAAAGUAAAAUCAGAAUUAUUCAACACACACCAAGCUUUCAAUCCAACUCAGAAAAUUUAGACGCUGCCGGACCCAACCCAGCUUAUCUCAUCUCGAGAUUCAAACCCUUUUACAUUAUAAAGCAAAGAUUGCAGCAGCAACUGCACCAACUGAUCCAACCACGUUAUUACGCGUGAACAUGACUGCGCCAGAUAUAUCCACUGGAGCAACAGGACUCUCAACAUUAGCUGCAGGAACUGCCUUAGUAGGCUUUUCUGGUGCGGGUGCUACUGGUGCUGGAGCUGGGGCCUUAGAAGCAAAAAUGUCCUUAGGAAGUAGCACCUUCUCAAUCUUAUAAAUGGCUAGCUGGUUGUCCGUGUAUACCGUGCCAGAUAAACUUGUAUUGGUAAGUCCUGUGGUUAUGUUCACCGAGUUUGGAUAACUUGUUACGUUAAGUGGUAACCUACUACCUGUUCCAGCCCAUGUUCCAAGAGGAUUACUUACAGUCUGAAACUGGGAAGUGGAUAGGAAUGUUGGAACUACGUGGAACUUCACCAACUCAGACUUGUCACCAUCACUUAGAGUAUUGAGAGUUCCUGAUUUGAGUUCCGAAAAUGCACUAUCUGUGGGUGCAAAGAUGGUUACACCAGAGCUUGAAUCAUUAAGCGCGGAGAACAAGUGGUUUUCCUCUUGGGUGGAUCUCAAAAGGCGGAUAAAGAUCGUGAAGUGGCCAGCCUUCUCAAGGAUUUUGGUGACGUUGGUGAUGCCGUGUGGAGCAGCUGCCUGUGUUGGAGUUGCGGCUGGGGGUUGUGCUACGACUACUGCUGGUGCCUGCGCUGGGGCUGCUGCUGGUGACUGGGCAAAGGUAUUGGUAUAGUGGAGGAAAAGAAGGAAAACUGAAAUGGAGGAGAUUGAGUACUGUUGCUUCAUCUUUAAGUUUCCAGGCUAUUCUACUAGAAACUAUAAAAAAAAUGCUUAUGUAAAUUGAGCUCGAUCUUAUUUAGAAGUGUUUGAUGUCUAAAGAAGAGACAGAGUGAGGUUUUAUAGUAGUAGGCAGAGGAUCAAGUAAGGUGCCAUGUACAAUUUCAGAUAUACUAUCUAGUACCUUAUCUUGCUCCAUAAGGUGGAAGGUCACCAAUGGAGAAGGAAAUUUAACAUUGCUGCUCCAACUACUUUCUGAAUUAUCACUGGCAGAACAUUUGAGCAUAAAUGUGAACAUCAAAACAAAUCAUCUGUAAUGACAGAAGAUUUGGACAAGCAAUCUCUACUGACCCAUCUCUAUAUCUAAAACUGCUAAGAAUUGUGUCUUUAAGACAUGUCCUGAUGUUUUGAAAUAAAUGAGUAGGAAAAUGCAACAAAGUCCUUGGAGGCUUAAAAAUGGAUAUAAAUGAACGAGGGAGGGGUAUUGUAAUAAUUGAAUAAACAUAAUAAGUAUAAAUAGAAAAAAAAAAAAAAAAAAGAGAUCUGAAAAUUUUGAGAGAUAACCGGCAGGAGUGAAGGGAGAAAAAAGAAGAAGAAGAAGAAAAAAGAGGGAAAGAUAAGGGAAAUAGAAGAGAAUUAGAGAAAAUAAGCUUAAAGUUAAGAUUAUGUAUAAAUGUGUGUUCUUUAAGCUUUAAAUUUCUGUUUUGUUGAAUGUUAAGGUUUUAAAGAUUGUGUUUUGGUUGAUUGAUGAAUUGAUUUGAAUGUUAUGGGUUGAUUGUUAUGGGUAAUGAAUUGUUUAGUUGAUUUUGAAAGAUUUUAGGUAAAGAUGAUGAUUUUGAAUUAUGAUUUUGUUUAAAUGGUGAAUUUGAGUUAGAAAUCUUGAUAUAACAGUAGGUAAUCUGUGAAAUUCUGGGUUUGAGGUUGAAGAUGACAAAAUUUAGUUUGGUCCCUCAAUUUGUGAAAAUUACAAGUUAGUCCCUAAACUUUGUAAAAAAACACAGAUUGGUCCCUGGAGCAUAUUCCGAGAUUCUGGACAGAAUAAAAGAUGAAUUAUGGGCAGAAUUCCAGUAUAAUUAUGAAUUUUUAACACUUUCAAUUUGGUCCUUCCAUUUGACAAAAAUUACAAUUUGACCCUAAAAAUUUGGAAAAAUUCCAGAAUGGUCCCUGGAGCAUAAUUAGAGAUUCUGGACAGAACUGAUGAUAAAUUAUGGACAUAAUACCACUAUAGUCAUGAAUUUAUGAUAUUUUUAGUUCGGUCCUCCAAUUUGACAAAGUUACAAUUUGACCCUUAAAAAUAUAAUAAAUUCCAAAUUGGUCCCUAGCUGUAAUAUUAGCUUUUGCAAAUUGGUUUGAUGAAUAAUUGAGGAUUAUUUAGUGAAUUAUUAUCAAGUCUUGUUAUUUGUUUUAUUAUGAAUUAGAUUUCGGGAAUACUAUUUAAUUUUGGGUUUUUGGAAAAAUGACUAGUUUAGUUUAAAAACAUAUAGGGUUAUGGAAUAGACCCUUAUUUAAGUGUAUUAAAUAGGUUGAACGUUCUUUUCGAGUCGUUUUUUAAUAUGUCUCCUUUGUAUUCAGAUAAUCUUGAUAUUCUAUCGACAAGACAUUAGUAGGAUUUUCUUCGGUAUCUGCUUUCGAGUUAUGUUUGCUUUCGAGUCAGAUGAGUGGAUAAUUUUCCAUAUGCAUGAGAAAUAUUAUAAAUAUUUGAUUUGUUAAUAUGAAUUGGAUCAUGCUUCUUGAUAAUAUAUAUGUUGAUUAUUAUCUUUGUUACGAUAAAGCAUGAUCAAUUGUUGAAUCUGAAUUCUUGAUAUGAACUAAUAUAUAUUUUGAAUUGACUUUUGAGUUGAUAGCUCCUCAUUUGAUUAAUGUCAUGAGUUGAGCCUUGAGAUAUGAAUAUGUCUGUUUGAUUAUGAUUAUGAACUUACGGUAUGUCAGUCAGAAUACUCAUGCUAACAGGGUAGUAUUAGUCUUUGUGCACAUCGUAUCUGAACCCUAGUUGGUCGGGGGAGUCACAACCUAUGUGGACUGAUCAUCCCACAAUAUUACGGAGCCUCAUGCUCAUUGCAUUUUGAUUUUGUGACGAGCUUUACCUUAUGAUAUUUUUGUUAUUAUCUAUUUGAGAAACCUUUCUAUAAGAACCUAGAGUCAUAAUUGUAUAUAUAUUUCUCAUUGUUGUAUUACCUCUUGUGUGUAUAUUGAACGUUAUCUACUCACUGAGUUGUUGAACUCACCCUCUCAUUAUUUAUCUUUUCAGGCUUAUAGCUUGUUAGCGGGUCAUUUUGUUGGACCUUCAGGACCUGCUUUUUUGUUGAAAUUUGUAUUUUUUCCUUAUGUCUAGUUAGUGCUCCACAACUAUGAAUUUAUAUUAACUCUUGUAUUAAAAUAAUCAAAUUAUAUAAUGAAGUUAAUUUUGUUAUUAAUGUUGCGUUGAACUCACAUUGAGGUAUUUGAAGGUUAAGUUUGUAUGUAAGUCUGGGUUCGUAUAGGUAUAUGGAACCUUGAAGAGGAACUUUACUUGUGUGCCGGUCAUGGAUCUGGGAAUCGGGUCAUGACAUGUCCAACCUAAAACUCUGCCAAAAAAACAUCUUUUAGCUCAAAUGCUUAAGAUUUAAAGAAGAAAAAAUAAAAAUGUUGAAAUUCAAACUUGUUUGGUCAUUAAGUCUCGUGGUAUAAAAUAAGAAUUUCAACUCAAAAGCUGAAAUUAUUAGGUGAAGCAUCAAUAUAUAAUUUUUGUUAAUAGGUAUCACAUUCAAAUGCAGUUAACAGAACUGUAAAGUUACGGAUUGAAGAUAACUACAUUUUGAUUUGAACUAUGCUUGUAAGAGUUCGAAAAUCACAACGAAAAUAUAUGUUUUCACCAUUGUCCCACAACAUGUAUGAAUUAAUUUGUAUACUUUAAUCUCCUGUGAAAAAUUGAAUAAACAGCUGUUAGUUCACACUAACUUAAUACUGACUGGAAACGUUAAGACUGUAACAACAACAAAGGAUUAACGUAUUCCUGCAACAUGGUACAGUAAGAUGCUUUGGCAUGAAAUAUUUGCUUCAAUGAAACUGUAAUGUUUUGAAUUAAUGAAUUGGAAAAUACAACAAAGCCCUUUGUGGCUUAAAGUGUGGGUAUAAAUGAAUGAGGGGUAGUGUGGUAAUUAGAUAAACAUAAUAAAUAUAAAUAGAAGAAAAAAAACAAAAGAAGGAUCUGAAAAUUUAAGAGAGAAUCGGCAGAAGAGAAGGGAGAAAGAAGAAGAAGAAGAGAAAAGAGGGAAUUAAAAGGGAAAUAGAAAGGAGUUGAAGAGAAUAAGUUUAAAGGUAAGAUUUAGGUUGUUAAAUGUAUAAAUGUAUGUUAAUUGAACUUAAUUUCAGUUUUGAUAAAUGUUAGGGUUUUGAAAAUUUGUGUUUUGGGUUUAAUUGAUGAAUUAAAUUGAAUGUUAUAAGGUUGAUUGUUAUGGGUAAUUGAUUAAUGAGUUGAUUAUGGAAGAUUGUGAUGAUUUUGAGUUAUGAAUUGUGUAAAUGGUGAAUGUUGAGUUAGAAAUUUGGCAAGAACAGUAGGUAAUCUGUGAGAAUUCUGGGUUUGAGGUUGAAGAUGACAAAAUUUCGGUUUGGUCCUUUAAUUUUGAAAAAUUACAGAUUAGUCCCUAGCUGUAAUAUUAGCUUUUGCAGAUUGAUUUGAUGACUAAUUAAGGGUUAUUUAGUAAAUCAUUAUCAAUUUUAUUAGUUGUUUUAUUAUGGAUUAGAUUUCGGGAAAACCGUUAAAUUUUGGGUUUUUGAGAAAAUUGACUAGUUAGUUCAAAAACAUAUAGGGUUAUGAAAUACACCCUUAGAUAAGUGUAUUAAAUAGGUUAUAUAUUCUUUUGAGUCAUUCUUGAAUAUGUCUCCUUUGUAUUCAGAUAAUCCUGAUAUUCUACCAGCGGGACGUCAGUAGGAUUUUCUUCGGUGUCUGCUUUUGACUUCUGUUUGCUUUUGAGUCAGGUGAGUGGAUAAUUUUCCAUAUGCAUGAGAAAUAUUAUAAAUAUUUGAUUUGUUAAUAUGAAUUGGAUUAUGCUUCUUGAUAAUAUAUAUGUUGAUUAUUAACCUUGUUUUGAUAAAGCAUGAUCAAUUGUUGAAUCUGAAUUCUUGAUAUGAACCAGUAUAUAUUUUGAAUUGAAUUCUGAAUUGAUAGCUCCUCAUUUGAUUGGUGUCAUGAGUUGAGCCUUGAGAUAUGAAUAUGUCUGUUUGAUUAUGAUUAUGAAUAUAUGGUAUGCCAGUCAGAAUACCCAUGCUAACAGGGUAGUGUUAGUCUUUGUGCACAUCGUAUCUGAACCUUAGUUGGUCGGGGGAGUCACCAACCUGUGUGAACUGAUCAUACCACAGUACGGAGCCUCAUGCUCAUUGCAUUUUGAUUUUCUGACAAGUUUUACCAUAUGACAUUCUUGUUAUGGCCAAUUUGAGAAACCUUUCUGUAAGAACCUAGAGCCAUACUUGUAUAUAUAUUUCUCAUUGUUGUAUUACCUCGUGUGUGUAUUGAACGUUAUCUACUCACUGAGUUGUUGAACUCACCAUCUCAUUAAUUAUCCUUUUCAGGCUUAUAGUUUGAUAGCAGGUCACUUUUGUUGAAACUUCCGAACCUGCUUUUUGGUUGUAAUUUGUACCUUUCUUUUAUGUCAAGUUAGUGCUCCAAAACUAUGAAUUAUAUUAACUCUUGUAUUAAGACAAUUCAAUUAUAUUAUGAAGUUGAUUUUGUUAUUAAUGUUGCGUUGAACUCUGAUUAAGUUAGGAUAAGUUUGUGUGUAAGUUUAGGUUCGCAUAGGUAUGGAACCUUGGAGGGGAACCUUGCCUAUGUGCCGGUCAUGGAUCCGGGAUUCGGGUCGUGACAGAAACCAUACAACCUCCCCACCUUAAAUUGAAUAGUCUCUGGUGAUCCAAGAUUUGGACAAGGAAUAUCAGGCAAUUCAUCCUUGUUAGUGAAGGAACUAAGUUUUAGCUCUUUCAGAUUUCAAUAGCAAUUUUUUACGUUCUUCAUUUACCUCCAACCUUCAAGAGAUACGCUCUCCGAACUCACACACCCAGAAAACAAGUCACCCACAAAGUCAUCUGCUAAAAAGCAAUUUCCAAGAAACGUUGUCACUGACCUCAGGAAGUCAAGCCCCAUGAAGGCAAUACUCAUUAUUUUGUACUGAAAAUAAUAUUUAAGCCUCAAAAUCUUAACACAUCCAUUUCUUAGCAUAAAGGAAGAGAAAAGUCUCCGAGGGAGAAAUUGAAGUAAAUUUCAUGUACAUUGCCCUUAAUGGCAUAAUCAAUCCACUGGGGAUACCAGAGCGAAGACAGAAUUUGAAACGGGAAGAGGAAGGAGGGUAUUAUCAACAAAUUCGAUGCAAACGGGGAGGGAAGUGCGGUGGGAGUUGUGAGAGUCAUCAUCAUACUAUUAAUAAAGACUAGUAAACAGGAAUUUGGAUGCACUAGCUAUAAGCUAGUCAGAAAAGAUCAAGCAUGAUCAUUCGCAUGAAAUGCUGGGGGAGGGAAGAACUUCCGAUUGAAUAAAACUCAAUAAGUUCAUGAAUCAUACUUCUUCGGAUCGAAAUGGGGGGGGAAGAACUUCCGAUUGAAUAAAACUCAAUAAGUUCAUGAAUCAUACUUCUUCGGAUCGAAAUAAAUCAUCUCUGGCAUUUCUCUGCUGCUUCCUUCUUACUGUUUUUCUCCCUGGUCAGUGGUGACAAUCUACUUCAAUCUCUUUCGGCCUCCAUUAUCUCAUAACUCACCUUCCUUCAUUCCUCCACCAAUCUUGCAAUCACUUUUCCUUCGCUUCAUAUUUCCUGCAAGCUUUCUCUCCUCUGCUAUCAUGAUACGUUGCCCCAUAUUCACCCCACUUAGCCAACACCCCCCUAAGAUCGGAUCAGAAGAACCAUCCCCAGAGGAAAUAACCCUAAGAACCUUCGGCAAGUUAAUAUCCGCGAAAAAAGAUGUCAACAGCUUGCAAGCUUUUGCAACCCCCUGAAUAGGACUUCUCAGCUUGACAACCCUCGUCUCCUCCAAAAAUUCCACUUACUACUCAUCCUCCAGUAAGUAUUCAUCCUCCAGUAAGUAUACUUCCCCAGAAAUUGAUUCACCAAUCCAACCACCAUUAUCUACCCGAAAACUAGGAAAUGAUUAGAUGACACCCGGAUUAUAGUAAAAAAAAAAAAUUGAAAUUUGACUAAUCAAGUACCAAGAAAUUAAAUAAAAUCUCAAAACUCAAUUUUAAUCGUAAACUCAAAGCAUACAAACUGGAUUCAAGGUCAGAUCGAAAUUACUCAACAGAUUCAAUACAGCUCAGAAAAAUAUAACAUCAAAACCAGACCAAACCCCACCAAAUUUCAUCUCAAGAUUCAAACCUUUAUACAUUACAGAGCAAACAUUGCAGCAGCAACUAUGCCAACUGAUCCCACCACAUUAUUAUGUGCGAACAUAAGUGCACUAGAUAUAUCCACAGGAGCCACGGGACUCUCUACGGUUGCUGCAGGAACUGCCUUUGUAGGCUUUGCUGGUGCAGGUGCUACCGGUGCUGGAGCUGGAGCCUUUGAAGCAAAAAUGUCCUUAGGAAGUAGCACCUUCUCAAUCUUAUAAAUGGCUAGCUGGUUGUCCGUGUAUACUGUGCCAGAUAAACUUGUAUUGGUAAGUCCUGUGGUUAUGUUCACUGAGUUUGGAUAACUUGUGACAUUAAGUGGUAACCUACUACCUGUUCCAGCCCAUGUUCCGAGAGGGUUACUUACGGUCUGGAACUGGGAGGUCGAUAAGAAAGUAGGAACUACAUGAAACUUCACUAACUCAGACUUGUCUCCAUCACUUAGAG
rnacentral:lncRNA from 1 species